CCUACGGGAGGCAGCAGUGGGGAAUUUUGGACAAUGGGCGCAAGCCUGAUCCAGCAAUGCCGCGUGAGUGAAGAAGGCCUUCGGGUUGUAAAGCUCUUUUGUCAGGGAAGAAACGGUGGAGGUUAAUACCUUCUGCUAAUGACGGUACCUGAAGAAUAAGCACCGGCUAACUACGUGCCAGCAGCCGCGGUAAUACGUAGGGUGCAAGCGUUAAUCGGAAUUACUGGGCGUAAAGCGUGCGCAGGCGGUUGUGCAAGACAGAUGUGAAAUCCCCGGGCUCAACCUGGGAAUUGCAUUUGUGACUGCACGGCUAGAGUGUGUCAGAGGGGGGUAGAAUUCCACGUGUAGCAGUGAAAUGCGUAGAGAUGUGGAGGAAUACCGAUGGCGAAGGCAGCCCCCUGGGAUAACACUGACGCUCAUGCACGAAAGCGUGGGGAGCAAACAGGAUUAGAUACCCUGGUAGUCCACGCCCUAAACGAUGUCUACUAGUUGUCGGGUCUUAAUUGACUUGGUAACGCAGCUAACGCGUGAAGUAGACCGCCUGGGGAGUACGGUCGCAAGAUUAAAACGUCAAAGGAAUUGACGG
rnacentral:rRNA from 1 species